UGGGGAAUAUUGGACAAUGGGCGCAAGCCUGAUCCAGCCAUGCCGCGUGAGUGAUGAAGGCCCUAGGGUUGUAAAGCUCUUUCACCGGUGAAGAUAAUGACGGUAACCGGAGAAGAAGCCCCGGGUAACUUCGUGCCAGCAGCCGCGGUAAUACGAAGGGGGCUAGCGUUGUUCGGAAUUACUGGGCGUAAAGCGCACGUAGGCGGAUCGAUCAGUUAGGGGUGAAAUCCCGGGGCUCAACCCCGGAACUGCCUCUAAUACUGUCGAUCUGGAGUUCGAGAGAGGGGAGUGGAAUUCCGAGUGUAGAGGUGAAAUUCGUAGAUAUUCGGAGGAACACCAGUGGCGAAGGCGGCUCACUGGCUCGAUACUGACGCUGAGGUGCGAAAGCGUGGGGAGCAAACA
rnacentral:rRNA from 1 species